rnacentral:rRNA from 1 species
ACGGCUACCUUGUUACGACUUCACCCCAGUCAUGAAUCACUCCGUGGUAACCGUCCCCCUUGCGGUUAGACUAGCUACUUCUGGAGCAACCCACUCCCAUGGUGUGACGGGCGGUGUGUACAAGGCCCGGGAACGUAUUCACCGUGACAUUCUGAUUCACGAUUACUAGCGAUUCCGACUUCACGCAGUCGAGUUGCAGACUGCGAUCCGGACUACGAUCGGUUUUAUGGGAUUAGCUCCACCUCGCGGCUUGGCAACCCUUUGUACCGACCAUUGUAGCACGUGUGUAGCCCUGGCCGUAAGGGCCAUGAUGACUUGACGUCAUCC